rnacentral:rRNA from 1 species
AUGACGGAGUCGAUGGUGCGCAACAAGCCGGGGAUGGCGAGCGUCAAGGACAUGCCGGUGCUGCAGGACGGGCCGCCGCCGGGCGGGUUCGCGCCCGUGCGCUACGCGCGCCGCAUCCCCAACAAGGGCCCCAGCGCCAUCGCCCUCUUCCUCACCACCUUCGGCGCCUUCUCCUGGGGCAUGUACCAGGUCGGGCAGGGGAACAAGGUCCGCCGUGCACUGAAGGAGGAGAAAAUUGCUGCCCGUAGUGCUAUACUGCCGAUGCUCCAAGCUGAAGAGGAUGAAAGAUUUGUCAAAGAAUGGAAGAAGUACCUUGAGGAGGAAGCGAGGAUCAUGAAAAAUGUUCCUGGAUGGAAAGUUGGUGAGAGCGUGUACAAUUCUGGGAAAUGGAUGCCUCCUGCAACUGGUGAGCUGCGUCCGGAGGUUUGGUAA